rnacentral:rRNA from 1 species
CCUACGGGAGGCAGCAGUUUCGAAUCGUUCACAAUGGGGGCAACCCUGAUGGCGCGACGCCGCGUGGGGGAUGAAGGUCUUCGGAUUGUAAACUCCUGUCAUUGGGGACUAAUGGCCAGGCUCAUACCCUGGUUUGAAUUAACCCAAAGAGGAAGCAGUGGCUAACUCUGUGCCAGCAGCCGCGGUAAUACAGAGACUGCAAGCGUUACUCGGAUUCACUGGGCGUAAAGGGAGCGCAGGCGGACUCAUGUGUCGGACGUGAAAUACCGGGGCUUAACCCCGGUGCUGCGUCCGAAACUAUGAGUCUAGAGACUUGGAGGGGUAAGCGGAAUUCUUGGUGGAGCAGUGAAAUGCGUAGAUAUCAAGAGGAACACCAACGGCGAAGGCAGCUUACUGGACAAGAUCUGACGCUCAGGCUCGAAAGCGUGGGGAGCAAAAGGGAUUAGAUACCCCUGUAGUCCACGCUGUAAACGGUGCGCAUUAGGUCUUGGAGCUUUCGAACGCUCCAGGGCUCAAGCUAACGCGAUAAUGCGCCGCCUGNGACGACGCCGCGAGACGAACGUACAANAGAGUAGACGGCGUGAGACGNGCCGACGGACGACGACGAGGGAGGAGG